rnacentral:rRNA from 1 species
UGGGGAAUAUUGCACAAUGGGCGCAAGCCUGAUGCAGCCAUGCCGCGUGUAUGAAGAAGGCCUUCGGGUUGUAAAGUACUUUCAGUCGGGAGGAAGGUGGUAAGGUUAAUAACCUUGGCAAUUGACGGUACCGACAGAAGAAGCACCGGCUAACUCCGUGCCAGCAGCCGCGGUAAUACGGAGGGUGCAAGCGUUAAUCGGAAUUACUGGGCGUAAAGCGCACGCAGGCGGUUGAUUGAGUCAGAUGUGAAAGCCCCGGGCUUAACCCGGGAAUUGCAUCUGAUACUGGUCAGCUAGAGUCUUGUAGAGGGGGGUAGAAUUCCAUGUGUAGCGGUGAAAUGCGUAGAGAUGUGGAGGAAUACCGGUGGCGAAGGCGGCCCCCUGGACAAAGACUGACGCUCAGGUGCGAAAGCGUGGGGAGCAAACAGG